rnacentral:rRNA from 1 species
UUUUAUCAUGGCUCAGGACGAACGCUGGCGGCGUGCCUAAUACAUGCAAGUCGAGCGAGCGGAACUAACAGAUUUACUUCGGUAAUGACGUUAGGAAAGCGAGCGGCGGAUGGGUGAGUAACACGUGGGGAACCUGCCCCAUAGUCUGGGAUACCACUUGGAAACAGGUGCUAAUACCGGAUAAGAAAGCAGAUCGCAUGAUCAGCUUUUAAAAGGCGGCGUAAGCUGUCGCUAUGGGAUGGCCCCGCGGUGCAUUAGCUAGUUGGUAAGGUAAAGGCUUACCAAGGCGAUGAUGCAUAGCCGAGUUGAGAGACUGAUCGGCCACAUUGGGACUGAGACACGGCCCAAACUCCUACGGGAGGCAGCAGUAGGGAAUCUUCCACAAUGGACGCAAGUCUGAUGGAGCAACGCCGCGUGAGUGAAGAAGGUUUUCGGAUCGUAAAGCUCUGUUGUUGGUGAAGAAGGAUAGAGGUAGUAACUGGCCUUUAUUUGACGGUAAUCAACCAGAAAGUCACGGCUAACUACGUGCCAGCAGCCGCGGUAAUACGUAGGUGGCAAGCGUUGUCCGGAUUUAUUGGGCGUAAAGCGAGCGCAGGCGGAAGAAUAAGUCUGAUGUGAAAGCCCUCGGCUUAACCGAGGAACUGCAUCGGAAACUGUUUUUCUUGAGUGCAGA